AUUGAACGCUGGCGGCAUGCCUUACACAUGCAAGUCGAACGGUAACAGGUCUUCGGAUGCUGACGAGUGGCGAACGGGUGAGUAAUACAUCGGAACGUGCCUAGUAGUGGGGGAUAACUACUCGAAAGAGUGGCUAAUACCGCAUGAGAUCUACGGAUGAAAGCAGGGGAUCGCAAGACCUCGUGCUACUAGAGCGGCCGAUGGCAGAUUAGGUAGUUGGUGGGAUAAAAGCUUACCAAGCCGACGAUCUGUAGCUGGUCUGAGAGGACGAUCAACCACACUGGGACUGAGACACGGCCCAGACUCCUACGGGAGGCAGCAGUGGGGAAUUUUGGACAAUGGGCGCAAGCCUGAUCCAGCAAUGCCGCGUGCAGGAUGAAGGCCUUCGGGUUGUAAACUGCUUUUGUACGGAACGAAAAGCCCUGGGUUAAUACCCUGGGGUCAUGACGGUACCGUAAGAAUAAGCACCGGCUAACUACGUGCCAGCAGCCGCGGUAAUAC
rnacentral:rRNA from 1 species